rnacentral:misc_RNA from 1 species
GAUGAAGAACGUAGUGAAAUGCGAUAAGUAAUGUGAAUUGCAGAAUUCAGUGAAUCAUCGAAUCUUUGAACGCACCUUGCACCCUUUGGCAUUCUGAAGGGUAUGCUCGUUUGAGUGUCAUUGUACUCUCACACUCCCGAUCUUUGCAUUGGGAGCAGUGGACUUGGGUUUGCUGCUUCACCGUCGCUUACCUCAAAUAGGUUAGUGCAACUCUUGGUUGGACAUAGUACGGCGUGAUAAGUGUUCUUCGCCGGUGCCUCGCAAAGAGGGUGGCCGAUCGGGAUGUUGUGCUCCAAACCGUCUUCGGACAAUCUCUGACGACUUGACCUCAAAUCGAGUCAGACUACCCGCUGAACUUAAGCAUAUCAAUAAGCGGAGGA